CAGAUCUCAGACUGUCAUCAUUAUUGUUGUGCCAAUUGUUGUUUCUGUGGUAAUAAUAGUUAUAUUCUUCUGCAUUUGUUUAAGAGUAAGGAGGACAAAGAAAAAACUUGAAACUAGGAAGUUAAUUCCAGGCAGCGACGAUACAGAUGAAAUUGGAUCUGCAGAAUCUUUGCAAUUUGACUUGGCCACCAUUAGAGUUUCCACAGAUGACUUUUCUGAAGCAAAUAAACUUGGACAGGGCGGAUUUGGAUCUGUUUACAGGGGUAGGCUUCUCAAUGGAAAAGAUAUAGCUGUAAAAAGGCUCUCUACAAAUUCGGGGCAAGGAGAUUUAGAAUUCAAAAACGAGAUCUUAUUAGUGGCUAAACUUCAACACCGGAAUUUAGUUAGACUCUUAGGUUUCUGCUUAGAAGGGAGUGAAAGGCUUCUUGUCUAUGAAUUUGUCCCUAAUGCAAG